GGAAAAAUGAGAUUAGAGUGACUUGCCCCAAUGUGCUAGGCUGCAAAAAGUAGCAGCUGCAAACUGGUGGCAGUUUCACGAGCUCUGUGAAGUCCCCAGCAGUGCUGCUGGAAACCCCCAGGAACUGAGCAGGACAGUGUGCAAUGGUGGGAUUGCACUCUUCAUUCUUUAAGGCGGUGGUUUGGCUUGGCUUGUCCUCCCUGCAACAUCCCUGCCUGUGCUCUGGGUGCUAUAUGGAUGCACGUCGAAUGAUUCCAGUUUAAAUCUGCACGGCAGACAGCAGAAGCACCAAGCACAGUUUCCAGCCUCCCAGUCUGGUCUUUCCAUGCCUCCUUGCGGCUGCCUGCUCCCCGCUACCCUACUCAACAGCUGAUGACGAAUCCUCUGCCUCCUGUCCCUGGGAUUCUGCCCUCUGCUUCUCAUCCUGCUGCCUCUGGUGCUGCCUGGGCCACCUUCCUCACAGAUCUGAUGGGGUUUAUUGCAUUGGCAUGGAGCAUGUUGAAUGUUGCAUCCCUUCCCUCCCUUUACCGUCCUCUCUCCCUGGAAAUGCUCAUGCUCCCACUGCAGGAGCAAAUGGGUCUGAACUGGUCAUCAGGGCACUGAAGUGGUGUUGGGCCACCUUUGAAACAGCUUCAUGCCCAGAGACCAUAAAAGAUGCCUGCUUCAAGAGAGCGUGUGGGGUUAUGAAGCUACGGGGUUAUGGAUGAAGUGUGACCAGUGUCAAUCCCAGUGGUUGACCACCGAGACAACACAGGGACUGCAGCCCAGAGACACCAGUAUCUGCUCCACUGGGUUCUGCUCCCAACGAGGUGACUGUGAAGGAGAUAUUUACCCCAUUAACAUCCACGCAGCUGCUGUGCCACCUUUUACAAGCUGCUACUCCCGGAUCUACAAGGAUUUUGCACCAGGACAUGGCUUUCGUACUUCACAUGUCCCGAGGAUCAGUUUCUGCAUUUGCCUGGCAGCAAGAGGGCAAAACAAAGAGCGAGCCAAGGGCCCUCUGCAAUGUCAGCAUGGGGCAGAGGAGCUGAGCCCUGCAGGAUAA
rnacentral:lncRNA from 1 species